GCCUUUGUGGUGUAGUGGUCAGCACGCUCGACGCGUAAUCGAGAGGUCCGUGGUUCGAAUCCCGGCGAGGAAA
rnacentral:tRNA from 1 species